AAGACUGCAUAGACUGGGAAGGGAAGUCGGUGCAGCACGGGCUGCUUUACGUACCUGGCCCUGAGUGUGUUCGCUCUGCGUGUGCUACCACUCAGAACCGAUGUGGUGCAAGGCAAUAUACUGCGACCCGCCUUAUUUUUGCAAAAACUUCCGCGUGGGUGAGCGAUGCUGUGAGUUCGAGUGCCUAGACCCUCCCGGAGAGGACACGAGGUACCGCGAGAGGCAACGGCUUCGGGCCCUGAUCUUAUCAGGCAACUCCUCCGCGCCACAUCAUGGACCUUCCAUGGAGUUGAAGGCCGGAAUAUCAUUACUAGCUGUUGCAGUCGCCAGAUUUGUAUGAAAAUAAGUUAAGGAAAAGGGUGUUGAAAAAAUGUCAAAACAAAUAAGGAUUUGAAAACGUAUGGAAUAACCAAUGUUAUGAAAUUAUCUUAUGAAAAAUACGGCAAAAAUCAUAUGACGUAUACAAACUACUUUGAACUUUGUGGAUUAAUUUUGUCGCAAAAUGCACUGGAAGAGAAAUUGCAACUGUGCCAACACUCGUCGGUGGGUUCUGUAUAUGAUAUCUAGACACUCGAAACUUUGCCUUCACUGUAGUUCAUGUUAUGAAUUUCAACUGCCUUACUACUAACUAUAACUACCAUUGUUAUUUUUGUUUCGUAAUUGGCAACAUUUUGUUCGAAAUGUUCACCGAACGUUAUUAAGUUUAUAAAUACGCGAAUGGCUGAGGUGUAUAAAAUGUUUGAACUCUAAUCUAAUUAGGAAAUAUACCAUUGGCCAAUAAGCUUAAAAUAUUUUACUGUUUUAAACUGAGUAAACUUCUAUUUUGAUAUUGUACUUUGAUUUAAUGAGUCCUGCUCCAUUUUAACAAUAAAUCUAGUUAGGACUAGAAACAUAUCAGUUGGAAGUCAGUGAGGUCUGGUCACAUUCGUAUAUCCGCCGAUUUGUAGAUGCAGGUCCCCUCUUAAAUUAAGGGGAGAUUUGGGCCACGGUCACCUAUGACGAUACAAUAUAGCUCGGGUUGUUGCUCCCAGCUAAUUGGUUCGGAAUCUCCUGUUCUACCUAAGCGAAGUUUAUUGUGACGUCCUAACUUACGACCUUUAUCUCUAGGGCAUUUAAAAAAACUGGUGCAGCUACCACUGAACAUAGGCAGGCAGAUGUUUUAUUAAGGAAACUUAAGUUUUUUAAUAGGCGAUUACUAGAAAAUUUUAUAAACAAAAAUGAAAUUACCAACUAAAUAUUAAAAGCCGUUGCCAUAUCGUGUAAUUUAUUUUUAAUUAAAAAUAGCUGCUGUCAACUUUGCUCCUUAAAGCCAUAACAAAAAAAAAUAAUGAAAUCUAGUUCGCGCGGUCGUGAACCCCGCCAUGAUGAAUAAACCAUAGACACGCAACUCUGUUUUACGAUACACCAAAAAGUUAUUAAGCAUAAAAAUCGUUAAUUGGUCCCAUAUCGGUACAUGUAAUUAAGUCAAAGAAUAUGAUUGAAAAAAUACAUAGUUAAAUGUUUGCACGCAUGGUUUUGAAGGACAAUUUGCCAAGGUGAAGCCAUUGCUCAGUAAAAUUAUAUUUACUCAUUUUGCAUGUUAAUGGGUUUCGUAUUCGCUCGAUAAAUUCCAAUGCUACAAGGUCAACAUAAUCUGAGACUUCACAACGUCGUAUUUUUUCCGUGAACUACAAGAAUUUCAGAAAAUUGUCUUACUUUUCUAAACUGACAAUCCCAAAACUGCCUUAGAAGACAAGCAGUUGUGACGGAUUUUUCACCUAUGAUCACGUUAUCCAGUUUGGGUAGCAUAACCUCAAGUACCAAUUUACGAAAUUCUAAAUGUGUACACAAUGGUCCCGAAAGAUGACUUGCUGAAACAUGCCCUAGUUAUGCUUGCGUUGGGUAGCGGUUGCUAUCGAUACAGGGUUGAGGUCCACCAGUUUGCAAAGGGUCCCUGAAUUACAAAACACAUGAGUAUCGAUGUCCAAAUUAUUUACAAUUUUAACGUCAGCAACGCUCCCACAAUACCCAUUAUUCUGACAAAA